GCAUUACUGAGAACAUAUUCACCAACAUGAAAGUAAUCUCAUUAUGGCUUCAUCCCUUCCAGAGAAGUUGGAUUGGUCUGCACCAAUCUUCAUGGAGGACCACAGUGUGUGUUCCACCGAAGUGCCAGCUGGGAAUACGGCCAGCUUCAGGGAAAUCUGUCUGUCUGGUGAUGAGAACCACAUCCCUAGUUCUGAAGUUCUUGAAGCAAUAGAAAAUGUUAUUCAAGAUGUACUUAAAAGCUUGGCCCAAAAAAAAGCACCUGUUCUCACACUGGCUGACAGAUCAGAUUGGAGGAACAUAGAAUUUAAAGAUUCUGUAGGUCUACAGAUGACACCACAUUGUGCUACAAAACAAAUAAGAAGUGAUUGCCCUAGAUCAGCACA